ACGUUUGCUGAGUCAUCGUGUUCCCUGCAUUCUAUUUUCUGUCCCUACUGACUCUUCCUUGUUCCCGCAGUCUCUCCCUGGUUCCCUGUGGAGUCCUCCUGGUGUCAGCUGACUCGUUGUGGUCAGCUGACUUGUCCUGGUUCCCAACUCUGUGCUCCUUGUUCCCUGCUGACUUUUCCUUGUCCCGGCAGUCUCUUUCCGGUUCCCUGUGGCGUCCACCUGGUCUCAGCUGACUCGUCCUGGUUCCCAAGUCUCUGCUCCUUGUUCUUUGCUGACUCCUCCUGGUUCCCUGCGGAGUGUUUGUCUUCCUCAUUCCCUGCGGAGUCGUCGUGGUCUCAGCUGACUCGUCCUGGUUCCCGACUCUCUGCUCUUUGUUCCCUGUUGACUCCUCCUGUUUUCUUGUGAGUGCUUCUUUCAUUUGCUGAGUCAUCUUGUUCCCUGCAGUCUCCUCCUGCUUCCUUGUUGAGACCUGCUGGUUCCCCCUGGUCUCUCCUGGUUCCUCCUGAUCCCUUCUGGUCCCUCUUGGUUCCUCCUGGUUCCUCUGGGUCUCUCAUGGUCCGUCUGGUCGCUCCUUGUCCCUCCUGGUUCCUGCUGAUGUUUUUCCUUCCAGGAUGCGCUGUGAGGCUGGGGUUCCUGUCGCCCCCUGCCGGUCACUCAUCACUGCGUGAUCCGGUGAAGGAGAAUCCACGGCUCCCCG